AAUUAAUUAAGUAUAAGGUUAUAAAAUUAUUUUUUUUUAUUAGCUAAAAAUAAUUUCGGUCUAAGUAUAUUUUAUAGGAGCGAUUAAUUUUACCUUUAGUUUUAGUUCCGUAAGGGAAGAUUUUUUUAUUUAGUUAAAAGUAGAUUUUUUAUAUCUUACCUUUUGUAUCAGGGUGAAUUAAUUUUUAUGUUUUACUUAUAUUUUCUCGAAAGUACAAGAUAUAUUUUAUUAUGUUAUGUUUUGUAAUAAAAACACUUUUAAUAUUAUUGUAGGGGUGACAUACUAUUCAUUUGUAUUAUAUCUAGUUGACUAAUAAGUAGAUUUAAUCUAUCCUUUGUUUUAUUAAUGUUAUUUUAAUUUCAUUAAUAUUUGUGAAGAGAAAUGUUCCUAGGGAUUAGCUUGGGAGUGGGUUUAUAAAUUUGUUAUAGUUGUUAAUUUUUUAGGUUUUAAAUUAUCUAUAUAGUAUUUUGUUAUAAAAAAAUUAUCUUUAUUUUUUAUUUAUUAUUAUUUAGUAUGGUAUUAGUUUAUCUAUUUUAAUUUUAUAUUUAUUGUAAUAAUGAUUUAAUUAGUAGUGGUUUGAAAUAAUUUAUAGUAACUCGGCAAUUUUAACUCUUGCCUGUUUAACAAAGACAUGGCUUUUUGUUUAUUAAUAUGAAGUCUUUACCUGCCCAAUGAUUAAUUUAAUGGCCGCAGUAUUUUGACUGUGCAAAGGUAGCAUAAUCAUUAGUCUUUUAAUUGAGGACUGGUAUGAAUGGUUUGACGGGAGUUUACUUUCUUUAUUUUAUGUUCUUUAAUUUAAUUUUUAAGUUAAAAAGCUUAGAUGUAUUUAUUAGACGAGAAGACCCUAUAGAACUUAUAUAUUUAUUUAAUUUAAUUUUGUAUGAUGAUUUGGAUUUUUUAAAUAAAUAUUUUGUUGGGGUGACAGUUAAAUUAAUUUAACUUUAGUUGUAUGUUUCAUUUGUUUGUGUGUUAUUUGAUCCUUUAUUAUUGAUUUUAAGAUUAAGUUACCUUAGGGAUAACAGCGUAAUUCUUUUGGGGAGUUCUUAUUUAUAUAAGAGUUUGCGACCUCGAUGUUGGAUUAAAGUUAAUGUUUGGGGUAGCUUUUAAAAUUAUUAAGUCUGUUCGACUUUUAAUUCUUUACAUGAUCUGAGUUCAAACCGGCGUGAGCCAGGUUGGUUUCUAUCUUUAAUAGUGUUGUAUAUUAUAGUACGAAAGGACCUAAUAUAAUAUAUGUUAUAUUUAUGUUG
rnacentral:rRNA from 1 species